rnacentral:rRNA from 1 species
GACUCUCGGCAACGGAUAUCUCGGCUCUCACAUCGAUGAAGAACGUGGCGAAAUGCGAUACUUGGUGUGAAUUGCAGAAUCCCGUGAACCAUCGAGUCUUUGAACGCAAGUUGCGCCCGAAGCCAUUAGGCCGAGGGCACGUCUGCCUGGGCGUCG